rnacentral:rRNA from 1 species
AGUGAACGCUGGCGGUAGGCCUAACACAUGCAAGUCGAACGGCAGCACAGAGGAGCUUGCUCCUUGGGUGGCGAGUGGCGGACGGGUGAGGAAUACAUCGGAAUCUACUCUGUCGUGGGGGAUAACGUAGGGAAACUUACGCUAAUACCGCAUACGACCUACGGGUGAAAGCAGGGGACCUUCGGGCCUUGCGCGAUUGAAUGAGCCGAUGUCGGAUUAGCUAGUUGGAGGGGUAAAGGCCCACCAGGGCGAAGAUCCGUAGCUGGUCUGAGAGGAUGAUCAGCCACACUGGAACUGAGACACGGUCCAGACUCCUACGGGAGGCAGCAGUGGGGAAUAUUGGACAAUGGGCGCAAGCCUGAUCCAGCCAUACCGCGUGGGUGAAGAAGGCCUUCGGGUUGUAAAGCCCUUUUGUUGGGAAAGAAAUCCAGCUGGCUAAUACCCGGUUGGGAUGACGGUACCCAAAGAAUAAGCACCGGCUAACUUCGUGCCAGCCGCCGCCGUAA